UACGGGGGGGCAAGCGUUGUUCGGAAUUACUGGGCGUAAAGGGCUCGUAGGCGGCCAACUAAGUCAGACGUGAAAUCCCUCGGCUCAACCGGGGAACUGCGUCCGAUACUGGCGGGCUUGAAUUCGGGAGAGGGAUGUGGAAUUCCAGGUGUAGCGGUGAAAUGCGUAGAUAUCUGGAGGAACACCGGUGGCGAAGGCGGCAUCCUGGACCAACACUGACGCUGAGGAG
rnacentral:rRNA from 1 species